AUUGAACGCUGGCGGCAUGCCUUACACAUGCAAGUCGAACGGCAGCAUGAUCUAGCUUGCUAGAUUGAUGGCGAGUGGCGAACGGGUGAGUAAUACAUCGGAACGUGCCCUGUAGUGGGGGAUAACUAGUCGAAAGAUUAGCUAAUACCGCAUACGACCUGAGGGUGAAAGUGGGGGACCGCAAGGCCUCAUGCUAUAGGAGCGGCCGAUGUCUGAUUAGCUAGUUGGUGAGGUAAAGGCUCACCAAGGCGACGAUCAGUAGCUGGUCUGAGAGGACGAUGACCCCCACUGGGACUGAGACAGGCCCCAGCCCCCGCCGGGGGGCAGAGGGGGGGAUUUUUGGACAAUGGGCGAAAGCUUGACCCACAAUGCCCGGUGUUGGGAAGAGGGCCUUGGGUUUGUAAAGCUCUUUUGUCGGGAAAAAAAUGGCUCUGUUUAAUCCCUGGGUUCGAGGACGUCCCCGAAAGAAUAAGGCCCGCCUACCUCCGCC
rnacentral:rRNA from 1 species